rnacentral:tRNA from 1 species
GGGCGUGUAGCUCAGUGGUAGAGCGUCCGCUUUGCAUGCGGAAGUUCCAGGGUUCGACUCCCUGCUCGUCGA